UUCUACUUAUCCAGGUCUUAAUUGAAGACCAUGAUUAGUUCAUUAGUUGAAUCAUGUGUCAUGGUGUUGGGCUAAAACAAAAACCUGCACCCACACUGGUCCUUUUCAGUUAAGGUUGGAUACUGCUAUUUUACUUUGAGGAAACUUUGGAAAUCAUCUGUAGUGCAGAAGUGAUUUGACAAGUUUUAUUUUUGGUUAAACCUAAAUAACAAAAAUGGGGGGAUAAACAGACAGAGUGAUAAAAGAGAGCAGUGACUCAAAAGAGAAAGGGUUUUGAAAUAAAUACUUCAUAGGCCAAGACCUGUAUUCAAUGAUCAUUUGUCCUUAACAUUUCAAAUGGAAUGGUUAAUAUUUUUCUAUUCAAAUGCAAGGUUUGUCAUGUUCUUUUUGGUGAUUGGGGAACUUACCAAAUUAUAUGUGAAGAAAAUUAAGACUAAUGCUUGCAUUUAUUUGUAAGCCAAAUAUAAGGACACAUUGAUUGAUUGAAUCCAGGCCCAUAACUCCACAGGCCUGGUUUGCCUCUGAAGGUAAAAUACUGUUUGUGAACCAUUGGAUCCAGCCUUUGCCUGAAGUCAAAUGUACAUUCUCAACUGGAGGGAAGUUGAUCUUGGAGAUUUGACUAUAAGUCAUGUGACAGGAGGACGUCACGACGGCGAGAAACGAGAGCGCAUUCCAAGAUGUUUACUCUCAAAGCAGAUAUGUGACACAGGGCCCAGAAAGCAACGCACAAGGGUGCAGUCAGGAGCACUGUAAACGCAUGCCAGCGUGCGUUGUGUUUUUAAGAGUUCCAUGUGCGGCG